rnacentral:rRNA from 1 species
CCUACGGGAGGCAGCAGUGGGGAAUAUUGCACAAUGGGGGAAACCCUGAUGCAGCGACGCCGCGUGCGUGAAGAAGCGUUUCUGCGCGUAAAGCUCUGUCAGCGGGGAAGAAACACGGUUCGCGAGAGCCGCGGACAGUACCCGACCAAGAAGCCCCGGCUAAAUACGUGCCAGCAGCCGCGGUAAGACGUAGGGGGCAAGCGUGAUCCGGAUUCACUGGGUGUAAAGGGAGCGUAGACGGCGGGACAAGUCUGGAGUGAAAGACCGGGGCCCAACCCCGGGACUGCUCUGGAUACUGCCUGGCUAGAGUACAGGAGAGGUAAGCGGAAUUCCUAGUGUAGCGGUGAAAUGCGUAGAUAUUAGGAGGAACACCAGUGGCGAAGGCGGCUUACUGGACUGUAACUGACGUUGAGGCUCGAAAGCGUGGGGAGCAAACAGGAUUAGAUACCCGAGUAGUC